AGCUCCAAUAGCGUAUAUUAAAGUUGUUGCGGUUAAAAGCUCGUAGUUGGAUUUCUACUGAGGACGGGCGGUCCGCACUAUGUGCGUGUAUCUGCUUCGGCCUUGGUAUCCUCCCGGGGAACAGUGCUGCGCUUGAUUGCGUGGUCUGGUAUUCGGGACUUUUACUUUGAGGAAAUUAGAGUGUUUACGGCAGGCAAUCGCCUUGAAUAUAUUAGCAUGGAAUAAUAACAUAGGACUUUCUGUCUAUUUUGUUGGUUUCUAGAUGGAAAGUAAUGAUUAAUAGGGACGAUUGGAGCGAUUUGUAUUAACACGUCAGAGGUGAAAUUCUUGGAUUGUGUUACGACAAACUACUGCGAAAGCAUUUCGCGAGGAUGUUUU
rnacentral:rRNA from 1 species